rnacentral:rRNA from 1 species
GACCGAGGUGCCGAGCGUUAUGCGGAAUCACUGGGCUUAAAGCGUGUGUAGGCGGAUCGUUAAGUGCCUUGUGAAAUCCCACGGCUCAACCGUGGAACUGCUUGGCAUACUGGCGAUCUUGAGCCACUUAGGGGCUACCGGAACAAAUGGUGGAGCGGUGAAAUGCGUAGAUAUCAUUUGGAACGCCAAUGGUGAAAACAGGUAGCUGGGAGUGUGCUGACGCUGAGACACGAAAGCCAGGGGAGCAAACGGG